rnacentral:rRNA from 1 species
AAUCUGCCCAUGUGCCCGGGACAACAGAUGGAAACGUCUGCUAAAACCGGAUAGGUGGCAAGGAGGCAUCUUCUUGCGAUUAAAGGGGCUACGGCCUUGAACAUGGAUGAUCCUGCGGUGCAUUAGCUAGUUGGUGAGGUAACGGCUCACCAAGGCGAUGAUGCAUAGCCGACCUGAGAGGGUGAACGGCCACAUUGGGACUGAGACACGGCCCAG